UACGAAGGGGGCUAGCGUUGUUCGGAAUUACUGGGCGUAAAGCGCACGUAGGCGGAUUGUUAAGUCGGGGGUGAAAUCCUGAGGCUCAACCUCAGAACUGCCUUUGAUACUGGCAAUCUUGAGUCCGGAAGAGGUGAGUGGAACUCCUAGUGUAGAGGUGGAAUUCGUAGAUAUUAGGAAGAACACCAGUGGCGAAGGCGGCUCACUGGUCCGGUACUGACGCUGAGGUGCGAAAGCGUGGGGAGCAAACAGG
rnacentral:rRNA from 1 species